rnacentral:rRNA from 1 species
UACGUAGGGGGCGAGCGUUGUCCGGAUUUAUUGGGCGUAAAGCGCACGCAGGCGGUCUUUUACGUUUUGAGUGACAGGUGGUGGCUCAACCACCACAGGCCUUGAAAUACGGGAAGACUUGAGGACGAGAGAGGGAUGCGGAAUUCCAGGUGGAGCGGUGAAAUGCGCAGAUAUCAGGAGGAACACCGGUGGCGAAGGCGGGAUCCUGGGCCAGUACUGACGCUGAGGAGCGAAAGCGUGGGGAGCAAACAGG